rnacentral:misc_RNA from 1 species
GUGAUUAGGAGCUUUCAGAUGGUGGAUAGGGACAGGAGCGGAUAUGUAGAUGAGAACGAGUUGCAACUAGCUCUCUCUUCUGGGUACCAACGGUUCAAUAUUAGGACUAUUAGGCUGCUGAUGUUUCUCUUCAAGAAUCCAAAUGAUCCUCUGCGAAUUGGUAAUAUUUGAUUUGCUGCUUUGUGGAGUUGUCUUGGUCAAUGGCGAGUAAUAUUUGAGAGAUAUGAUAAAGACAG